GCGAACCAGUCCGGCGAACCCAAGGAAGAAGACGCGCGUGGGGGCGCGUGGACCCGUGCCCUUCCCGGCGCAUGGAGGCGCGUGAGUGGCCCAAAAAUUGUUCUAAAAAUUGCUACGUGUUCGUGACGUCGUGUAGGUCACGGUGGUGAGAUUUAUACCGAGGACGAAAGUAACCAAACUAGGCGUGGGGGUUACGAACCGGCUACUUAUCAGUUCUAGGUAGCGUUUGUUGUUGGAUCUCGAGGUUUCCAGCUGAAGUUCUGACAAACCAUCACUCAUGUAGGAUUAUCUUCGAGUGUUGUAAAUUAGUACAUCUUAUGUUUGACUGCACUUACACCUUGUGCUCUGGUUGUGUAUUCACACUUAAACUUACGUUAGAACCUAUCGUAUUUGGUUUUAA